UCCCUGGGACAAUGACAAGUGGCGGCCGGACUCCGAGGGAAACGUGCCUCCCAGUGCGAGCAGGUCAGAGAGAUUGCACAUGAAAAAAGACUCAACCUGCUGCUUCUGGAUUUAAAGAAGAAGGGACCAUGAGCCAAGGAAGGCAGGUGGCCUCUGUAACCUGGAGAAGGAGAGGGAACAGAUUCUCCCCCAGAGCCUCUAGGAAGGAACGCCUUAAUCCUGGCCCAGUGGGACAUGUUGAACUUCUCACCCAUAGAACUUCCACAGAUCCAUUACCAAUGCAGUGGACGAUUCACACUGGAAUGCUGAGUAGUGAGGAAGAAAGAUCCCUUCAGAGGAAGCAGAUGGUAAAAUAAGGCACAAGGACAAAACAGUAUGAGAAAAAGAAUGUAUAUGUAUGUAUA